rnacentral:lncRNA from 1 species
UCGUGAGCUGGGCGUAACCUCAGACCUUAGGAGGCUGAGUUUGGGGACGGUACGGACUACACAGCCAAGCUCCAGGCCAACCCAUUCGUCAAGACCCUGUAUCCAAAAGCAGAUGCUGGCCAAUGUGUUCACAAAGCUUCAGAAAGGGAAGCCUGCCCCCUGUGGCACACACAGGAGUUUCCGAGAGAUGAGAGGUAAGAUGUUCCUGAAAGGAUGUAGAAUGAUGGCAAGGCGCAGUGCCUGUGAGCCUGGAGAAAAGGACCAUGUGGCCAGAGCACAAGGCACAGAAUGGGCUCCUAACAGGCAAGCGUCAGAACAGAAGCCAUUGUUAAGUUUGGAGUCCUUUCUACAUAACAAAAUACUCAGAAGCCAUAGGCAAAAAGCAGUGUAUUUGACCAAAGCAGAGAGAAUGAUUCCAUGAGAACCAACUAAAGUUAUUUUAAUGCAUUUGUCAAAGAGGUAAUCUCAGAAUUUUUGGAUCUAUCAGAAAAAAAAAAAAAAA